rnacentral:rRNA from 1 species
GACGAACGCUGGCGGCGUGCUUAACACAUGCAAGUCGAACGGAAAGGCCCUGCUUUUGUGGGGUGCUCGAGUGGCGAACGGGUGAGUAACACGUGAGUAACCUGCCCUUGACUUUGGGAUAACUUCAGGAAACUGGGGCUAAUACCGGAUAGGAGCUCCUGCUGCAUGGUGGGGGUUGGAAAGUUUCGGCGGUUGGGGAUGGACUCGCGGCUUAUCAGCUUGUUGGUGGGGUAGUGGCUUACCAAGGCUUUGACGGGUAGCCGGCCUGUGAGGGUGACCGGCCACAUUGGGCCUGAGAUACGGCCCAGAGUCCUACGGGAGGCAGCAGUGGGGAAUAUUGCACAAUGGGCGGAAGCCUGAUGAAGCAACGCCGCGUGCGGGAUGACGGCCUUCGGGUUGUAAACCGCUUUCGCCUGUGACGAAGCGUGAGUGACGGUAAUGGGUAAAGAAGCACCGGCUAACUACGUG